UGAUAAACUGGAGGAAGGUGGGGAUGACGUCAAGUCAUCAUGGCCCUUACGACCAGGGCUACACACGUGCUACAAUGGCGCAUACAAAGAGAAGCGACCUCGCGAGAGCAAGCGGACCUCAUAAAGUGCGUCGUAGUCCGGAUUGGAGUCUGCAACUCGACUCCAUGAAGUCGGAAUCGCUAGUAAUCGUGGAUCAGAAUGCCACGGUGAAUACGUUCCCGGGCCUUGUACACACCGCCCGUCACACCAUGGGAGUGGGUUGCAAAAGAAGUAGGUAGCUUAACCUUCGGGAGGGCGCUUACCACUUUGUGAUUCAUGACUGGGGUGAAGUCGUAACAAGGUAACCGUAGGGGAACCUGCGGUUGGA
rnacentral:rRNA from 1 species